rnacentral:rRNA from 1 species
AAAUUGAAGAGUUUGAUCAUGGCUCAGAUUGAACGCUGGCGGCAGGCCUAACACAUGCAAGUCGAACGGUAACAGGAAGAAGCUUGCUUCUUUGCUGACGAGUGGCGGACGGGUGAGUAAUGUCUGGGAAACUGCCUGAUGGAGGGGGAUAACUACUGGAAACGGUAGCUAAUACCGCAUAACGUCGCAAGACCAAAGAGGGGGACCUUCGGGCCUCUUGCCAUCGGAUGUGCC